CAAGACCAGAUGAGCUGGUUUCUUGGUAUGGUUUAUCAGCACAGGUGAUCCUAGCUGGUCCAUCAGAAUGCAGGGUCUAAAAAAUACCUGAAGCACAAAUCUUAGGGUUUACAAUAGUGAUGUGAUCUUUAGGAGUAAUUGCAGAGGCUAAAAAUCUUGUGUCCUCUGUCUAUAUGACUCCUAAACUAUAAUUCUAACCUUGUGACUAAUUUGUUAGUUUUAGAAAGGUUGAUUCAGUUCUUGAGCAAGGACAAGGGAACCCUUGGCUUUGAGGAACAAAUCAACAAAUAUAUGGAACUUGCAAAAUACUUCUAUAAGGUUUUAAAGAAAAAAGAUAACUUUAAGCUUGUGUUUGAUGCAGAGUUGACGUCAUGGUCAUGGCAUGGAUGAAUGGAAGUUUGAAGGAAUUUGUAAACCAAAAUAUGGGGAAGAUGAUAACAUAGAUAUGAAAAUCCUCAAGAAUUAUGACUCAAGAGUUUAUUGGAGAAACAAGCAGAUCCCGUGCCAGACUAGGCCCUCUCUGAGGAAAGUAGCUACUUCUUUUAUCUCUGAAUCCAGGCCCUGACAUGUACUAAGCACAGAAAGAAACCUUUAUUUAAAUACAUAAACAUUAAGUGAGAUAAAUUAAAGUACUUCUGAAAUAAUGAAGUCACUAAAGAAUUAAGUGGAGUUUUUAUGGAUACUUGUAAAAUAUUUUUCUUUGAUUUAGCCUGAGUUCACUAAUGUCUGCUUCUGGUAUUUCCCAGCAAGGCUUAAACAUAUUCCAAAAGGUUUUGAAAGAGAUCAAGAACUCCGAAAGAUUGCUCCAAAGAUUAAAGCACAGAUGAUGAUGGAAGGCACAAUCAUGAUAAGCUACCAGCCAUGUGGAGACAAAGUAAAUAUUUUGCGAAUGGUUUUUUUCUAAUCCUGCCUCAAGACAGAAAGAUGUUGACUAUCUUAUUGAUGAAAUUGAAAGGCUUGGGAAGGAUUUAUGAUACUUCAAUGUGAACUUGGAUAUCCCAUGUAAACAUCAACUUAAUUCUAUUCCUAAGGAUAAUAAGAAAGGAAUAUUGAAACUGUUAUAAAAAUGUUAUGAAUAAGAACUUUUAAUUUUUAUUCUAUGCUAUGUAAGAUGAAAGGUAAGAUGAAA
rnacentral:lncRNA from 1 species